CCUACGUGAGGCAGCAGUGGGGAAUAUUGCACAAUGGGGGAAAGCCUGAUGCAGCGACGCCGCGUGAAGGAAGCAGUCUUUCGGUAUGUAAACUUCUAUCAGCCGGGAAGAAAAUGACGCUAUCUGCCUAAGAAGCACCGGCUAACUACGUGCCAGCAGCCGCGGUAAUACGUAGGGGGCAAGCGUUAUCCGGAUUUUCUGGGUGUAAAGGGGGCGUCGGCGGAGUAGCAAGUCAGAAGUGAAAGCCACGGGCUCAACCCCGGGACUGCUUUUGAAACUGUUGAACUAGAUUGCAGGAGAGGUAAGUGGAAUUCCUAGUGUAGCGGUGAAAUGCGUAGAUAUUAGGAGGAACACCAGUGGAGAAGGCGGAUUACUGGACUGUAAAUGACGCUGAGGCUCGAAAGCGUGGGGAGCAAACAGGAUUAGAUACCCGAGUAGUC
rnacentral:rRNA from 1 species